UACAGAGGGUGCAAGCGUUAAUCGGAAUUACUGGGCGUAAAGCGUGCGUAGACGGUAGCGUAAGUCGGGUGUGAAAGCCCCGGGCUCAACCUGGGAAUUGCAUUCGAUACUGGAUAGCUAGAGUUCGGCAGAGGGAAGCGGAAUUUCCGGUGUAGCGGUGAAAUGCGUAGAUAUCGGAAGGAACAUCAGUGGCGAAAGCGGCUUCCUGGACCAGAACUGACGAUCAGGCACGAAAGCGUGGGGAGCAAACAGG
rnacentral:rRNA from 1 species